UACAGAGGUCCCAAGCGUUGUUCGGAUUCACUGGGCGUAUAGGGUGCGUAGGUGGCAAGGUAAGUUUGAUGUGAAAUCUCCGGGCUUAACCCGGAAACUGCAUUGAAUACUAUCUCGCUCGAGAGUUGGAGGGGAGACUGGAAUACUUGGUGUAGCAGUGAAAUGCGUAGAUAUCAAGUGGAACACCAGUGGCGAAGGCGAGUCUCUGGACAACUUCUGACACUGAGGCACGAAAGCUAGGGGAGCAAACAGG
rnacentral:rRNA from 1 species